rnacentral:rRNA from 1 species
AUUUAACGCUGGCGGCAGGCCUAACACAUGCAAGUCGAACGAGUGGCGGACGGGUGAGUAAGGUCUGGGAAACUGCCUAAUGGAGGGGGAUAACUACUAGAAACGGUAGCUAAUACCGCAUACCAACUUAUGUGCCCAUAUGGGAUUAGCUAGUAGGUGGGGUAAAGGAUCACCAAGGCGACGAUACCUAGCUGGUCUGAGAGGAUGACCUGCCACACUGAGACUGAGAGACGGUCCAGACUCCUACGGCAGGCGGCAGUGGGGAAUAUUGCACAGUUUGCGAAAGCCUGAUGGUGCUAUGCCGCGUGUAUGAAGAAGGCCUUCGGGUUGUAAAGUACUUUCAUCGGGGAGGCGUUACCCGCAGAAGAAGCACCGGCUAACUCCGUGACAGCAGCCGCGGUAAUUC